GGAGUUAGGAAAUGUAAGUGCGCUAAUAUCGUGCCUAUUUGACAAAGGCUCCAAAGGAAGCCACGGCUAACUCUGUGCCAGCAGCCGCGGUAAUACAGAGGUGGCGAGCGUUGUUCGGAAUUAUUGGGCGUAAAGAGCACGUAGGUGGGUUUGCAAGUCAGAUGUGAAAGCCUUCUGUUCAACGGAAGAAUUGCAUCUGAAACUGCUAAUCUUGAGUAUAGGAGGGGAGAGUGGAACUUCUGGU
rnacentral:rRNA from 1 species